CGAGGGGCAGCAUGAUUGAAGCUUGCUUCAAUUGAUGGCGACCGGCGCACGGGUGAGUAACGCGUAUCCAACCUUCCGUACACUCAGGGAUAGCCUUUCGAAAGAAAGAUUAAUACCUGAUGGUAUGAUGAGAUUGCAUGAUAUCAUCAUUAAAGAUUCAUCGGUGUACGAUGGGGAUGCGUUCCAUUAGGUAGUAGGCGGGGUAACGGCCCACCUAGCCUACGAUGGAUAGGGGUUCUGAGAGGAAGGUCCCCCACAUUGGAACUGAGACACGGUCCAAACUCCUACGGGAGGCAGCAGUGAGGAAUAUUGGUCAAUGGACGAGAGUCUGAACCAGCCAAGUAGCGUGAAGGAUGAAGGUCUUACGGAUUGUAAACUUCUUUUAUAAGGGAAUAAAACCUCCCACGUGUGGGAGCUUGUAUGUACCUUAUGAAUAAGCAUCGGCUAACUCCGUGCCAGCAGCCGCGGUAAUACGGAGGAUGCGAGCGUUAUCCGGAUUUAUUGGGUUUAAAGGGAGCGCAGACGGGUCGUUAAGUCAGCUGUGAAAGUUUGGGGCUCAACCUUAAAAUUGCAGUUGAUACUGGCGUCCUUGAGUGCGGUUGAGG
rnacentral:rRNA from 1 species